GCAUUGUGUGAAAGGAGAGGUUAUUUGUAUGAAAGUUUGAUAAAGAUGGAAGAGGUCCUAGUAGCCUUUACGACAUACAUAUGGUUAAAGCAUUGCCACCUACUCUGUGGCAUCUAACCAUGUUUUCUU